AUCUUUGUUCCCAUAUAUGGUUCCAAUCAAAAAUUGGAUGAAAAGGGAAUUAGGUGCAAGUCCUGAACUAUCCCCGUAGCUGUAAGUUUCGAUAACGAGUUAGUAUCUUCGCCACUGUUUUUUAUGAACUGAAAAAUGGGAAGGCAUCUAACUUGAAACGAGUCAGAAGACCUGCCGUAUAUACAUUCGUAGC
rnacentral:ncRNA from 1 species